CAGUAGCCACGGGAAUACGUAGGGUGCAAGCGUUAAUCGGAAUUACUGGGCGUAAAGCGCGCGCAGGCGGUUAUAUAAGUCAGAUGUGAAAUCCCCGGGCUCAACCUGGGAACUGCAUUUGAGACUGUAUGGCUAGAGUGUGUCAGAGGGGGGUAGAAUUCCACGUGUAGCAGUGAAAUACGUAGAUAUGUGGAGGAAUACCGAUGGCGAAGGCAGCCCCCUGGGAUAACACUGACGCUCAUGCACGAAAGCGUGGGGAGCAAACAGGAUUAGAUACCCCCGUAGUCCCUGUCUCUUAUAC
rnacentral:rRNA from 1 species